CAUUAAGAAGCUUUCAUACUAAGCAAUAGCCUUUUAAGCUAAAGAUCGGUGCCCACCAACCACCCUUAAUGA
rnacentral:tRNA from 1 species